CCAACAGAAAAUCGCUCUGGCUUGGUUACCUGAAGCCACUAGAUGGUGCAAGUAGACCUCGUUCCUUCGGGAGGCCCAGUACCACCAGAUGGCACGGCUGAGAAAGGCAAAAAUGUUAUAUGGAGAAAGUUUAAUACCCUCGAUGUCAUGCACAGAGGAAUCCCUUCACUCCCUUUGGAGAAAUACUCUUCUGCUCACAGGCUGGUCCCUGGAUAAAGAUGGAUGGACUGAAGGUUUUUAAAAGCAGCAUUCAGCAAAUCACGUUUUCACAUUUCAUGGCUUCUGUGGUCUUAUCCAUUAUGUUGCAUCUUUCUAUAUUAAAGAAAAAAAAAUCUCCAGUUGCCAAACUAAGCCUUUUUAAUGCUUCCAGGGAAAGCUCUGAUUUCAACUUAGUUUUUACAGUUCUUGGCUUCUCAGUUUGAACAAAUGCAUCGUUUGACUCUGCACAAGCUCCAUUAUUUGCAGAUAACUUUUCAACACCAAAGGCCUGAAUCACUUCAUCCUCUGACUCUGUGAAGAAGAUUGGUGCUGACCAGGGGCUCUGUGACUGAAUGGAGUCUCAUCUGAGAGGUGCUGCCAACUUUCAUCUCCACGCUGAGCUCCUGCCCCCCCUGUGUUAGUGCUGAUGGCAUCUUGCUCUCUGACACCAUCAGCACCCCCCUUUCUACAUGCCAGACACAACCAGUCAGGAUUUCUUACCAUUAUAUCCAUUAAUUCCUGGUUUGUUAACCGUCUGACACCAGGCCAACUUCACCCCUCUGUUGAAUUAGUACCAAUAUUUGGAUACAGCAGCAGAAAAGAGAGGCACGCAAGGAAGUACAAGUGUAAAGAAGCACUUUAGUGAACUGCUUUCCCCUGGAAGAUCCAUGGAAACCCUCCAGCCCCUGUACCAUUGGGAGAUCAUCUUAGGACUCCUGAGAAGCUGUCACUGUCAGCAGACCUAAGACACGGGGCAAGUUUUGGUCCUUGGAGGAGCAAUCUCACAUGAAAAUGUGCAGCAAGGUCACCAAUGGCCAGGAGUGUCUGCACUGCUUGGAGCCCUCUGGCUCACAUUUGCUUCCUGCCUUACUGAAUGCAUUUAACACAGCUUCCAGAAUCAGAGUUUAUUAAUACCUUUACUCUCUGUGUUACCAUGGAAAAUAUCAAUAAAUACAUCAGCAGAAGCUCA